AGACCCCGUCCGGUAGGUGAGUGGCUCACUUUGAGGGCAAGCCUUCUCGGAUCGAGGCUUCUUCAUGGCCGCUCUCUUUGCGGAGGAUGGCGUCUAAUGAGCGCAGUUGAUUCGAGGAAGUACUAGCCGGACAUCAUGAGUGGCUGUCGGGUAUUCAUCGGGAGACUAAAUCCAGCGGCCAGGGAGAAGGACGUGGAAAGAUUCUUCAAGGGAUAUGGACGGAUAAGAGAUAUUGAUCUGAAAAGAGGCUUUGGUUUUGUGGAAUUUGAGGAUCCAAGGGAUGCAGAUGAUGCUGUGUAUGAGCUUGAUGGAAAAGAACUCUGUAGUGAAAGGUGAGAUUUCUGUGUAACUAGAUAACCCUGGGACAUAGAGCAGACUGGGUCUGCUGGCAUAUUUUUCUAAGUAGAUUUAUGUAGCUUAAGUGUGUAACGGAGAUUUUUCUUCCCUUUUUGUAGGGUUACUAUUGAACAUGCUAGGGCUCGGUCACGAGGUGGAAGAGGUAGAGGACGAUACUCUGACCGUUUUAGUAGUCGCAGACCUCGAAAUGAUAGACGGUAUGUGAAGGGUGGAUGGCUGCAUUGAACAA
rnacentral:sRNA from 1 species